AGGUUAUUACUUGCAUUCUACUGGAAAUCGAAUCCUGCUUCUAAGUAUUUAAAGUUGCUUCCAUUACUCUUUGAAGCAAAGGAUCGCUGCGAGAAGCGGGGACUUGUCCACGCAUGGGCACGGGAUCACACUUGAAAAGUUGCGUAUUCGAAGGGGGAAAAAAAUAAAACAAAUUUUCAAGGUUGCAA